GAUGAACGCUGGCGGCGUGCCUAACACAUGCAAGUCGAACGAAGCUCCCCGAAUUGAGUUUUCGGACAAGAGGAAGGGAUGACUUAGUGGCGGACGGGUGAGUAACGCGUGAGCAACCUGCCUCGGAGUGGGGGACAACAGUUGGAAACGACUGCUAAUACCGCAUAACGUGCAGAGGGGACAUCUCCUUUGCACCAAAGAUUUAUUGCUCUGAGAUGGGCUCACGUCUGAUUAGUUAGUUGGUAGGGUAACGGCCUACCAAGACUGCGAUCAGUAGCCGGACUGAGAGGUCGAACGGCCACAUUGGGACUGAGAUACGGCCCCAGACUCCUACGGGAGGCAGCAGUGGGGAAUUUUGGACAAUGGGCGAAAGCCUGAUCCAGCCAUGCCGCGUGCAGGAUGAAGGCCUUCGGUUGUAACUGCUUUGUUACGGACGAAAGACGUACCUCUAAUAAGGGUUACGUAUGACGGUACGUAGAAUAAGACACCGCUAACUACGU
rnacentral:rRNA from 1 species